rnacentral:sRNA from 1 species
UCUUACUUACUUGUGUUUAUAUUGCCUAGAAUGAACUAUUUGAAAAAGCUAAAAAUGAAAUCCUUGAUGAAGUUAUCAGUCUGAGCCAGGUUACACCAAAACAUUGGGAGGAAAUCCUUCAACAGUCUUUGUGGGAAAGAGUAUCAACUCAUGUGAUUGAAAACAUCUACCUUCCAGCUGCACAGACCAUGAAUUCAGGAACUUUUAAUACCACAGUGGAUAUCAAGCUUAAACAGUGGACUGAUAAACAACUUCCUAAUAAAGCAGUAGAGGUUGCUUGGGAGACCCUACAAGAAGAAUUUUCCCGCUUCAUGACAGAACCCAAAGGGAAAGAGCAUGAUGACAUAUUUGAUAAACUUAAAGAGGCCGUUAAGGAAGAAAGUAUUAAACGACACAAGUGGAAUGACUUUGCGGAGGACAGCUUGAGGGUUAUUCAACACAAUGCUUUGGAAGACCGAUCCAUAUCUGAUAAACAGCAGUGGGAUGCAGCUAUUUAUUUUAUGGAAGAGGCUUUGCAGGCUCGGCUCAAGGAUACUGAAAAUGCAAUUGAAAACAUGGUGGGUCCAG